rnacentral:rRNA from 1 species
AGUGAACGCUGGCGGUAUGCCUAACACAUGCAAGUCGAACGGCAGCACAGUAAGAGCUUGCUCUUACGGGUGGCGAGUGGCGGACGGGUGAGGAAUACAUCGGAAUCUACUUUUUCGUGGGGGAUAACGUAGGGAAACUUACGCUAAUACCGCAUACGACCUACGGGUGAAAGCAGUGGAUCUUCGGACCUUGCGCGAUUGAAUGAGCCGAUGUCGGAUUAGCUAGUUGGCGGGGUAAAGGCCCACCAAGGCGACGAUCCGUAGCUGGUCUGAGAGGAUGAUCAGCCACACUGGAACUGAGACACCGUCCUGACUCCUACGGGAGGCAGCAGUGGGGAAUAUUGGACAAUGGGCGCAAGCCUGAUCCAGCCAUACCGAGUGGGUGAAGGAGGCCUUCGGGUUGUAAAGCCCUUUUGUUGGGAAAGAAAAGCAGCAGGUUAAUACCCCGCUGUUCUGACGGUACCCAAAGAAUAAGCACCGGCUAACUUCGUG